UACAGAGGGUGCAAGCGUUGUUCGGAAUCAUUGGGCGUAAAGGGCGCGUAGGCGGUUUGGUAAGUCGGAUGUGAAAGCCCAGGGCUCAACCUUGGAAGUGCAUCCGAAACUGUCGAACUAGAGUCCCGGAGAGGGUGGUGGAAUUCCCAGUGUAGAGGUGAAAUUCGUAGAUAUUGGGAGGAACACCGGUGGCGAAGGCGACCGCCUGGACGGAGACUGACGCUGAGGCGCGAAAGCGUGGGGAGCAAACAGG
rnacentral:rRNA from 1 species